GUGGGAUGCACUUGCAAACAGUACACAGUCGGCCGAGAAAACACACGAUUUCACGGGACCUGUGGGUGAUUAUAUAUGAAUGAUUAGAAAUGAAAAAUCUCUCAUCACCCAUAUCAUUGUGACAGAGGGGCCGUGUCCACCGUCCAAUGGGUCUUCACCUGUGAAGAGGAGGCUCCUUCAGGACCUGCCAUUGCCUGUGCUGCACUUCUUUGGGAAUUGCCAUGGAAACCAUAGAGGACCUACACAGGAUCCUGACUUUCCCCGGAUUUCAGUAACGCAAAGUUAUUAAUAGCUUCCCCGUUCUAUUUUUUGGAUAUCUGAGGGUGGGGUGCAUGCAGAUGCAUCCUCACGAGCCCGUUUUGGCGCCUCGUCCCACACACACAGGCGCAGGGAAGGAAGCAGCCAGUUCUGUUGCCAAAAACAAAUAAAGAGAAAAAGCAACUCCUGGCUCCGUGCUCAAAAUUCCCAGAAUCCCAUACUUCCUUCCUGUUUUUGUCAUUUUUUUAAGUGAUGCUUUCUGGACACAAGCUGAUUACACCUAUUUUCCACAAGGGAUACAUUUACCCUAAUCCUCUUGGGUCUGAUGUACCCUUUUUCUAAAGUGGGUGACUUGACUUCAUGAUGCUCAUGUGAUGCUCAUUUUUGACGGAGACAUUUUUACUUUUUCUGAGGUAUGGACCACAGUAUGGUUUAGUAACAUUAGCAGUGCAGUGGUGUUGUAGCAGCGGGAGCAGGAUGGGUGGUGGAG